GCCUUCAUAGUGUAAUAGUUAGCACACUCGGCACGUAUUCAAGAGGUCCAGGUUCAAAUCCCAGUGAGGGCA
rnacentral:tRNA from 1 species